rnacentral:rRNA from 1 species
AGUGAACGCUGGCGGUAGGCCUAACACAUGCAAGUCGCACGGCAGCACAGUAAGAGCUUGCUCUUACGGGUGGCGAGUGGCGGCCGGGUGAGGAAUACAUCGGAAUCUACUUUUUCGUGGGGGAUAACGUAGGGAAACUUACGCUAAUACCGCAUACGACCUACGGGUGAAAGCAGGGGAUCUUCGGACCUUGCGCGAUUGAAUGAGCCGAUGUCGGAUUAGCUAGUUGGCGGGGUAAAGGCCCACCAAGGCGACGAUCCGUAGCUGGUCUGAGAGGAUGAUCAGCCACACUGGAACUGAGACACGGUCCAGACUCCUACGGGAGGCAGCAGUGGGGAAUAUUGGACAAUGGGCGCAAGCCUGAUCCAGCCAUACCGCGUGGGUGAAGAAGGCCUUCGGGUUGUAAAGCCCUUUUGUUGGGAAAGAAAAGCAGCAGGUUAAUACCCCGCUGUUCUGACGGUACCCAAAGAAUAAGCACCGGCUAACUUCGUG